rnacentral:rRNA from 1 species
AGAGUUUGAUCCUGGCUCAGAUUGAACGCUGGCGGCAUGCUUUACACAUGCAAGUCGAACGGCAGCACGGGUGCUUGCACCUGGUGGCGAGUGGCGAACGGGUGAGUAAUAUAUCGGAACAUGUCCGGAAGUGGGGGAUAACCAACCGAAAGGUUGGCUAAUACCGCAUAUGCCCCGAGGGGGAAAGAGGGGGAUCGCAAGACCUCUCGCUUUCGGAGUGGCCGAUAUCAGAUUAGCUAGUUGGUGGGGUAAAGGCCCACCAAGGCGACGAUCUGUAGCGGGUCUGAGAGGACGACCCGCCACACUGGAACUGAGACACGGUCCAGACUCCUACGGGAGGCAGCAGUGGGGAAUUUUGGACAAUGGGGGCAACCCUGAUCCAGCCAUGCCGCGUGAGUGAAGAGGGCCUUCGGGUUGUAAAGCUCUUUCAGACGGGAAGAAACGGUCACGGUGAAUAUCCGUGGCUAAUGACGGUACCGUCAGAAGAAGCACCGGCUAACUACGUGCCAGCAGCCGCGGUAAUACGUAGGGUGCGAGCGUUAAUCGGAAUUACUGGGCGUAAAGUGUGCGCAGGCGGCUUUACAAGCCAGAUGUGAAAUCCCCGGGCUUAACCUGGGAACUGCAUUUGGGACUGUAAGGCUAGAGUACGGCAGAGGGGGGUAGAAUUCCACGUGUAGCAGUGAAAUGCGAAGAGAUGUGGAGGAAUACCGAUGGCGAAGGCAGCCCCCUGGGUCGAUACUGACGCUCAGGCACGAAAGCGUGGGGAGCAAACAGGAUUAGAUACCCUGGUAGUCCACGCCCUAAACGAUGUCAACUAGGUGUUGGGGAAGGAGACUUCUUUAGUACCGCAGCUAACGCGUGAAGUUGGCCGCCUGUGAGUACGGUCGCAAGAUUAAAACUCAAAGGAAUUGACGGGGACCCGCACGAGCGGUGGAUUAUGUGGAUUAAUUCGAUGCAACGCGAAAAACCUUACCUACCCUUGACAUGUCAGGAAGUUUCCAGAGAUGGAUUCGUGCCCGAAAGGGAACCUGAACACAGGUGCUGCAUGGCUGUCGUCAGCUCGUGUCGUGAGAUGUUGGGUUAAGUCCCGCAACGAGCGCAACCCUUGCCAUUAAUUGCCAUCAUUUGGUUGGGCACUUUAAAGGGACUGCCGGUGAUAAACCGGAGGAAGGUGGGGAUGACGUCAAGUCCUCAUGGCCCUUAUGGGUAGGGCUUCACACGUAAUACAAUGGUCGGUACAGAGGGUUGCCAACCCGCGAGGGGGAGCUAAUCUCAGAAAGCCGAUCGUAGUCCGGAUUGCACUCUGCAACUCGAGUGCAUGAAGUCGGAAUCGCUAGUAAUCGCGGAUCAGCAUGUCGCGGUGAAUACGUUCCCGGGUCUUGUACACACCGCCCGUCACACCAUGGGGGUGGAAUCUGGCAGAAGUAGGUAGCCUAACCGCAAGGGGGGCGCUUACCACGCUGGG